rnacentral:rRNA from 1 species
UACAGAGGGGGCAAGCGUUGUUCGGAAUUACUGGGCGUAAAGGGCGCGUAGGCGGCCUGUUAAGUCGAACGUGAAAUCCCCGGGCUCAACCCGGGAACUGCGUCCGAUACUGGCAGGCUUGAAUCCGGGAGAGGGAUGCGGAAUUCCAGGUGUAGCGGUGAAAUGCGUAGAUAUCUGGAGGAACACCGGUGGCGAAGGCGGCAUCCUGGACCGGCAUUGACGCUGAGGAGCGAAAGCAUGGGGAGCGAACAGG